UACGUAGGGUGCAAGCGUUGUCCGGAAUUAUUGGGCGUAAAGAGCUCGUAGGCGGUUUGUCGCGUCGGCUGUGAAAACCUGGGGCUCAACCCCGGGCCUGCAGCCGAUACGGGCAAACUAGAAUUCGGUAGGGGAGACUGGGAUUCCUGGUGUAGCGGUGAAAUGCGCAGAUAUCAGGAGGAACACCGGUGGCGAAGGCGGGUCUCUGGGCCGAUAUUGACGCUGAGGAGCGAAAGCGUGGGGAGCGAACAGG
rnacentral:rRNA from 1 species